UUCUGGUAGCCAAGGAUGACUUGCUACAUCCCAAUUCAAGGUGGUAGCAAACAACGCCUUGUUUGGUUUUUCAGGCAGUCACUCCUUGGCUAACUUGAA
rnacentral:pre_miRNA from 1 species